rnacentral:miRNA from 2 species
ACGGCUACCUUCACUGCCACCC